rnacentral:rRNA from 1 species
GCCCGUCGCUCCUACCGAUUGGAUGACUCGGUGAAAUCACCGGAUGCUUACGAGCAGAAAGUGAUUAAAUCACGUUAUCUAGAGGAAGGAGAAGUCGUAACAAGGUAACGGUAGGUGAACCUGCCGUUGGAUCAGUUCUAGUUUUAAUAACUAACACCAACUUCUUUUAUUAAACAAAAACCAAUACAAAAUUAAAAACUAACUUCAUCAAAAACCAAGUCUCUAAGCAAUGGAUGUCUUGGCUCCUCACACGAUGAAGAACGUGGCAUAAUGUGUUAAGUAACCGGAGUUGCAAACAUCAUGACAGGUUAAUCUUUGAAUGCAAAUUGCGCUAAACUCGAUCUCGGUCGAG